CGUCAUUUUAUGCUGUACUCUUUCAUUUCUUGUUGCUUAGCAACAACACAAUAACAAUAAAAUUAUCGCCAUUUUGAGUUUGGAGUUGUAGAAAAUUUCCUCUAUUUGUCCAUAAAGAUCGUUGGUCUUUACUGCUCCUUACACACUCAGCCAAAAUGGAGGAUGAUGAUUUAGGACUUGACUUUGAUUUAGAUUCGCCACCAAAAAAAGGUGUGCCACGUUUGGGUCGUCGAUCUGAAAAUAUAAAUUCACAGAGUCCUCUCCAUGCCUCAUCAUUUGAUUUAGAAAGUCCACCUUCUGGAAAACUUACACCAGCUAAAAGUGGGCAACCUAGACCUCCUCCUAGAUCAAGAAAAACAGGUGGUUGGGCAGAAGAUCCUCCAUCUAGUGCUGUGCGUAGUUUUGCCUUCACAGUUGGCUAAGAAGAAGUGCACGACCAAACAUAACUGCGAAGAUUUACCUUGGACGUGGGAUAUUAUUUUCGCCGAUGUGUCUUCUGAAUUAACUUUAGAUUCCGAGGGAAAAACAGAAAAAGACGAUAUUUCAAUUAACUAAU
rnacentral:lncRNA from 1 species